rnacentral:pre_miRNA from 1 species
CCCUUAACUAUUAAAAGUUUCGUUUUGGUCCUUUAACUUAUUUUUUGGUUUUGUUUUGGUCCCUUAACUCUUCCUCCGUCAACCACUUUGGUCCUUUAUGUUAGGAUGAAUGUAUUAGAGUUAAAGGACCAAAAUGAAACCAAAAAAUAAGUUAAGGGACCAAAACGAAACCAAAAAAUAAGUUAAGGGACUAAAACGAAACUUUUAAUAGUUAAGGGAACAAAAGAAAACCCAAAAAUAAGUUAUGGGACCGAAACGAAACUUUUAAUAGUUAAGGAA